rnacentral:rRNA from 1 species
GGCGGCGUGCCUAACACAUGCAAGUCGAGCGAGGAGGAUCCUUCGGGAUGAUCCUAGCGGCGGACGGGUGAGGUAACACGUGGGCAACCUGCCUCAUAGAGAGGAAUAGCCUUCCGAAAGGGAGAUUAAUACCUCAUAACAUUGCAGUUUCGCAUGGAACAGCAAUUAAAGGAGUAAUCCGCUAUGAGAUGGGCCCGCGGCGCAUUAGCUAGUUGGUGAGGUAACGGCUCACCAAGGCGACGAUGCGUAGCCGACCUGAGAGGGUGAUCGGCCACAUUGGGACUGAGACACGGCCCAGACUCCUACGGGAGGCAGCAGUGGGGAAUAUUGCACAAUGGGGGAAACCCUGAUGCCAGCAACGCCGCGUGAGUGAUGACGGCCUUCGGGUUGUAAAGCUCUGUCUUCAGGGACGAUAAUGACGGUACCUGAGGAGGAAGCCACGGCUAACUACGUGCCAGCCGCGGC